CCUGGCUCAGGACGAACGCUGGCGGCGUGCUUAACACAUGCAAGUCGAACGAGAAUCUACUGAAAGAGUUUUCGGACAAUGGAUGUAGAGGAAAGUGGCGGACGGGUGAGUAACGCGUGAGGAACCUGCCUUGAAGAGGGGGACAACAGUUGGAAACGACUGCUAAUACCGCAUGACGCAUAGAGGUCGCAUGAUCUUUAUGCCAAAGAUUUAUCGCUUCAAGAUGGCCUCGCGUCUGAUUAGCUAGUUGGCGGGGUAACGGCCCACCAAGGCGACGAUCAGUAGCCGGACUGAGAGGUUGAACGGCCACAUUGGGACUGAGAUACGGCCCAGACUCCUACGGGAGGCAGCAGUGGGGAAUAUUGGGCAAUGGGCGCAAGCCUGACCCAGCAACGCCGCGUGAAGGAAGAAGGCUUUCGGGUUGUAAACUUCUUUUAAGAGGGAAGAGCAGAAGACGGUACCUCUAGAAUAAGCCACGGCUAACUACGUGCCAGCAGCCGCGGUAAUACGUAGGUGGCAAGCGUUGUCCGGAUUUACUGGGUGUAAAGGGCGUGCAGCCGGGUCUGCAAGUCAGAUGUGAAAUCCAUGGGCUCAACCCAUGAACUGCAUUUGAAACUGUAGAUCUUGAGUGUCGGAGGGGCAAUCGGAAUUCCUAGUGUAGCGGUGAAAUGCGUAGAUAUUAGGAGGAACACCAGUGGCGAAGGCGGAUUGCUGGACGAUAACUGACGGUGAGGCGCGAAAGUGUGGGGAGCAAACAGGAUUAGAUACCCUGGUAGUCCACACUGUAAACGAUGAAUACUAGGUGUGCGGGGACUGACCCCCUGCGUGCCGCAGUAAACACAAUAAGUAUUCCACCUGGGGAGUACGAUCGCAAGGUUGAAACUCAAAGGAAUUGACGGA
rnacentral:rRNA from 1 species